rnacentral:rRNA from 1 species
UGCAAGUCGAACGAUGAAGGAGGAGCUUGCUCCUCUGGAUUAGUGGCGAACGGGUGAGUAACACGUGAGCAAUGUGCCCUUGACUCUGGAAUAAGCGCUGGAAACGGCGUCUAAUACCGGAUACGACCCUCGGAGGCAUCUCCAGGGGGUGGAAAGAACUUCGGUCAAGGAUCAGCUCACGGCCUAUCAGUUAGUUGGUGAGGUAACGGCUCACCAAGACGACGACGGGUAGCCGGCCUGAGAGGGUGACCGGCCACACUGGGACUGAGACACGGCCCAGACUCCUACGGGAGGCAGCAGUGGGGAAUAUUGCACAAUGGGCGCAAGCCUGAUGCAGCAACGCCGCGUGAGGGACGACGGCCUUCGGGUUGUAAACCUCUUUUAGCAGGGAAGAAGCGAAAGUGACGGUACCUGCAGAAAAAGCACCGGCUAACUACGUGCCAGCAGCCGCGGUAAUACGUAGGGUGCAAGCGUUGUCCGGAAUUAUUGGGCGUAAAGAGCUCGUAGGCGGUUUGUCACGUCUGCUGUGAAAUCCCGAGGCUCAACCUCGGGCUUGCAGUGGGUACGGGCAGACUAGAGUGCGGUAGGGGAGAUUGGAAUUCCUGGUGUAGCGGUGGAAUGCGCAGAUAUCAGGAGGAACACCGAUGGCGAAGGCAGAUCUCUGGGCCGUAACUGACGCUGAGGAGCGAAAGCAUGGGGAGCAAACAGGCUUAGAUACCCUGGUAGUCCAUGCCGUAAACGUUGGGAACUAGAUGUGGGGACCAUUCCACGGUCUCCGUGUCGUAGCUAACGCAUUAA